rnacentral:lncRNA from 1 species
GAGGUCAAACAGUGGUAAUAUACUGUAUCUCUGUGCCUCUGGCUCUUACUUGCCCUUUGUAGGGUCUAACACUGGGUGUGCAAAAUUCCCUUUCAAAGUCCUCCACUUCACACUACAGAGAGAAGCCCCCACCGGGAAUAUCCAGGCCAGGUUUACACAGUUACAAGCCAUUGGUCAAGAAGAUAGGAAAGAGCUGGUAAAGAAGAAAGGAAAGCCAAGAGGAUGUGAUAUAGCAGAAUACCAGAAGAAAGAGUGCUUUAGGAUGGUGGUAGUUUUGAUUUUUAAAUAUAAUAACAGAAGGUGUAAGACUUUCGGAUCAAUGUAACAUUCUUUGC